rnacentral:misc_RNA from 1 species
CUAAAAAUGGAAGUACACAGAAAUAUCUGAACUUUAGCAGUGUAACAACGCAAUUGCCAAAUGUUUCUAGCAGCGAAGCACACCUGUUAAAUAGUACAUGUUGGAUGGCAACAGCCUGACAACGGAGAAGUUGGUGAAACUUGGAAAGGGAGAAUAUCUCAUCAAGUUGAGCCCUGAAUCAGAAGAGAAGGUCAACAAAGCGAGACAUGUUAUUGAUGCGGUGUUGGAAAAGAAUGAAGUUGUUUAUGGAAUCACAACAGGUUUCGGCAAAUUUGCUAAUACGACAAUUCCAAAAGAGAAAUUAAUGUAAGUACAA